rnacentral:rRNA from 1 species
CAGUCGCCGCGGUAAAACGAGGGGGGCAAGCGUUGUUCGGAAUUAUUGGGCGUAAAGGGUGCGUAGGCGGUUUGACAAGUCUUGUGUGAAAUCUCUGGGCUCAACCCAGAGUCUGCACGGGAAACUGUCGGGCUAGAGGAUGGGAGAGGUGAGUGGAAUUUCCGGUGUAGCGGUGAAAUGCGUAGAUAUCGGAAGGAACACCUGUGGCGAAAGCGGCUCACUGGACCAUUUCUGACGCUGAUGCACGAAAGCUAGGUGAGCAAACAGGAUUAGAUACCCGCGUAGUCCCUGUCUCUUAUAC